CUUUACGAGUAUCAAGAUCAGCAAAUAUUCGAAGACUAUUGAAAGGAAGAGAGAAAGUUCGCUCUGGUUUCGCUGUUGGCUUUAUAUCACUCUUUAGAAGGAUUCCUUUCGAAAACUAAAACCAAACUGAUCACACUUAUACCGUAAGAUUUUUGCUAGCUCUGGUGGACCACAAUAAAAUACCGUCACCUUUCCCUUUUUUCGAUCCUGGAGCUGUUUGAAGACCUUGUCCCAGUUUGGACGCCCCGCAUUGGUCCUAGUCUUCAGUCCAGUAAUGAGAUCCCUUUUUUCCUGCACGCAAAAAGAGUUAACGAGGUGCAUAACCGUAGGCGGUAUUUCGCUUGCCCACGAAAAGGAACAUUUUGGGCACGUGUGUCUUGCUUUCCAGUACCGGUGCAUGAUUGACUGGAGGAUUGAAGCGAACGGAGUGACCCCGAUGCCUGUAGCUAUCAAUACUGCAUGCUGGGCCUGGAAUAUGUGACUAGAAGGGGCUCCAUAGGGACCAUCUAGGUUGCUUCAAAUCUGAAGUUCCCUCGAUACUUCUUGUCAGCGAAACUAUAAAAACUUGGUUAACGACUGGCCUUAAAUUGCAAUUAAAGAUCAUUAAAAAAGAGCCAUUCUCAAUUUUGUUGUUGUUUUGUAAGCAUCCCUGAGGUACUCUUUGUAUGCGUACCAAAUUUUAAACAGUUUACAUCAAA